GAAAAUGAUCACAGCUUCUAUGAAGACGAUCGAAGAUCUGAAAGAUAUAUGAGACGUGGGGUUAAAGCUUUACACCUAACGACUAAACAUACUACAACCAAGAGUUCUCUGUGCCAGCCCAGAGGAAUAUACCUGAAAUACAACUUUCAAGCAAUGGGUAAUCAGACUAAGCUUUCACUCAAUGAGAGAUUCUCUAGGCUGAAAAUGGAGAAAAGACCGGGAUCAAUUGUCAAUUCUGGAGACCAAAGAGUUUGGUCUUAAAGGUUUGCUGUUAACAGGGGUAUUGUAGUGAGUUUUAUUCAAGAGCAUAUAUAUAUUUCAAUAUUUAACUUUUUACUG